GCCGGUGUGGCUCAGUGGUAGAGCACUCCCUUGGUAAGGGAGAGGUCGCGGGUCCGAUUCCCUCCACCGGCACCA
rnacentral:tRNA from 1 species